rnacentral:rRNA from 1 species
GAGCCAGUCGCCUAAGGUGGGAUAGAUGAUUGGGGUGAAGUCGUAACAAGGUAGCCGUAUCGGAAGGUGCGGCUGGAUCACCUCCUUU